rnacentral:rRNA from 1 species
UACGUAGGGUGCGAGCGUUAAUCGGAUUUACUGGGCGUAAAGCGUGCGCAGGCGGCCCGUUAAGACAGGUGUGAAAUCCCUGGGCUCAACCCCGGAAGUGCAUUGGAAACUGCUCUGCUUGAGUACCGGAGAGGAAGGGGGAAUUCCCGGUGUAGCGGUGAAAUGCGUAGAGAUCAGGAGGAACACCGAUGGCGAAGGCAGCCCCCUGGGCCUGUACUGACGCUCAUGCACGAAAGCGUGGGGAGCAAACAGG